rnacentral:lncRNA from 1 species
GCGUCAUGGAGGGAGCGCGUCGGGGCGUCAGCGAGCGCCAACUUUCAGCGUCUUUUCUGCGGCUUCCUUCUAUCCCGCUCCGAGGCUGCAGGGCCCUGGCAGAGUGGCGUCAGCUGGAAGGCUGGCCAGAGCCGGAUUUUGUUGCACUCCGGGCAGGAAGAUGGCCGAGGCGGCGGCUGACGGAGAUAGUAGUGCCUUGCUGAAGUCACGGCGGCCGGCGGCGCCCUCCUGGAGGCUGACGGGACGGAGGCAGGGAACUUCCCGGUGAGCCAGCCGGGCCUAGCAGGAGCCUUCGGCGGCUGCCCAAAGCCGUGGGGACGGCUGGCUGACUCAGCCGCUCUCUGGACGGAGUUGCUGGGUCCCCACAAGCCUGCCCGUGCAGCUGAAGUGGCAGGUUAGAGUUGUGGUACUCAAACUUAAGUCCAAGCAAACAGGAGGAGCACCGGCGCGGGUUCAGUCUUUCCAAACCCAGUUCAGCCGUAAUCUCUGGAGUCAGACUUCGCCGCCCAAUUCAUGGAUUUGUGCUUUUGACUCCGCUCUGAUGUUUUUGAAUGAAUAAAGUUGCCUAGGAUACUUAAGUAUAGUUGCAGAGCGUCUUUUCGGCCCUGAAAAGAGGGAAAGUUUCCAUUGAAAAAGUUCUUUAUCACAUAUUGGCAAACCCAAAGUAUGCCAAUUUGCAACGUGUUGACAUUUUCAUUGAAAUAUCUACAAUAAAGGCAAAGAUUCCUUGUCUCAGUGAUACAGAGUCCAUGGAAGGAAAUAAUUUAAAUGACCAAAUACUUUCUGUACUUCAAAAACCAUCAAAUAAGUGAUCAUUUAGAAAGUAAAAUUGUAGAAUCAUAAGAUUAAUUUUGUGGUUUACAGUGCAACAGUAUCUUAGAAGCACUGAAUAAUAGAAAAACUUGAGAGGCCACUUUUCAUGUAAAUCACCAAGAGGCAUUUUUAAGUUCUGGUUAGACAGUUUCCCUUGCCCUUCCAUUCAUUGCCACGGGUCCCAACCUAAGCACCCUUGCAUUUCCCAAGACUCCCCCAACCCUUUCUGCUGUUGCUCUCAAUGUCUCCCAUCCUUCACUCCCAAACAGACCGUUUUAGUUUUAAUGAGUUUGCUGGUACAUGCUAUGAGCCAGGAACUUGAGAGAGAAUAUACAAGAGGAGGCUUAAAUCUUGCAAGCCUUGUCUUUGAUCCUUAGUAUCAUGGCUUUGGAACCCAAUCAAUUCGAAUUUAAAUUCUAGUGGAGCAAGAAUUAGUGUUAUAAUCUUGGUAAAGGCACUGAAACUUUCUAAGCUUUAGCUUCCUCAUGAGUAAAAUUAGGUCCUUCGUGUACAGUUCCUGACACAAAAGUAAGCUUUCAGCAAAUUGUGGCUAUAUACAGGUAAUGAAUUGUUCCUUCGCUAAAAGAUUCCCGGAAAUAGUAAUCGCUUACAUUUAUUGAGAACACAUUAUAUGUCAUGUUAAUUCCCACAGCAUCCUUGCAGAAGUGCCAUUAUAAAAACUGACACAGUGAGGUUAGGAAACACGCCACAAACAACACAGCUAGUCACUAUGAGAGCCAGGAUUUGAACUCAAGCAGUGUGACUCCCAAGUUCCCACUCUAAUAACUACCAUAUAAUACUGCCUAAUGACAUAAUAUUAUGAGCUUCUAUUCUCUUUCAUUUUUGCUCAACAAACUUCUUUCUUUAUGGCUUUUCUUCCUAGCAAUAAUACCUACCCUCAGAUAUAAACCUACUUAAUUUAAUAUUAACAGACUUUUGAAGUACAUCUGGGGACUACCUGAAACCAUCUCCAAUGCCUCCAGGAGUGUAUUAGUCCGUUUUCAUGCUGCUGAUAAAGACAUACCCGAGACUGAGAAGAGAAAGAGGGGUUAAAUUGUGUUUAAAGUUCCACAUGGCUGGGGAGGCCUCAGAAUCACGGCAGGAGGCAAAAGCCACUUCUUACAUGGAGGGCAGCAGGAGAAAAUGAGGAAGAAGCAAAAGUGGGAAACCCCGAUAAACCUAUCAGAUCUCAUGAGACUUAAUUCACUAUAAUGAGAUUAGCAUGGGAAAUACCGGUCCCCAUGAUUCAAUUACCUCCCCCUGGGUCCCUCCCACAACACGUGGGAAUUCUGGGAGAUAAAUUCAAGUUGAGAUUUGGGUGAGGACAUAGCCAAACUAUAUCAUUCUGCCCUGGCCCCUCCAAAUCUCAUUUCUUACAUUUCAAAACCAAUCAUGCCUUCCCAACAGUACCCCAAAGUCUUAACUCAUUUCAGCAUUAACCCAAAAGUCUACAGUCCAAAGUCUCAUCUGAGACAAGGCAAGUCCCUUUCGCCUAUGAGCCUGUAAAAUAAAAAGCAAGCCAGCUACUUCGUAGAUACAAAGGGGGUACAGAUAUUGGGUAAAUACAGCCAUUCCAAAUGGGAGAAAUUGGCCAAAACAAAGGGGUUACAGGGCCCAUGCAAAGGGCACUCAAAUUUUAAAGCUCCAAAAUGAUCCCCUUUGACUCCAGGUCUCACAUCCAUGUCAUGAUGAUGCAAGAGAUGGGUUCCCAUGGUCUUGGGCAAGGAGAAUGGAGAGGAUAUUUUGAAAAAUGUUGCCACAGAGCCUAGUUUCUAGGUAAAAAUGCACUCUUCUAAAGAGCCACUAGGGUGUGUCAGUCUCCUGGAGCACACAGCACAGUGCAAAGCUUGGAAAGGAGAGGGCAGGCUGGAUUUAAGGCCCCAUUUUUCCCUCAGCCAACUUUGGUGUUUGUGUGUGCGUGUGUUGUUGUUAUUUGUUGUUUUGUUGUUUAAUUAUAGCAACAUGUUCUUGCUAUGUUGCCCAGGCUGGUCUCCAACUCCUGGGCUCAAGGGAUCCUCCCACCUUGGCCUCCCAAAGUGCUGAAAUUACAGACAGUGAAGUUCCAGUCUGCACAACUGUAACUUCUGUAUGAUUACUUGUAUCAGUUCAAAUUAGGUUCAGCUACAAGUGGUAUCAAGUUCAAAAUAACAGGAGCC